rnacentral:rRNA from 1 species
UACAGAGGGUGCGAGCGCUAAUCGGAAUUACUGGGCGUAAAGCGCACGUAGGCGGCUUGGUAUGUCGGGUGUGAAAUCCCCGGGCUCAACCUGGGAACUGCAUCCGAAACUGCCUUGCUAGAGUAUGGGAGAGGGAAGUGGAAUUUCCGGUGUAGCGGUGAAAUGCGUAGAUAUCGGAAGGAACAUCAGUGGCGAAGGCGACUUCCUGGCCUGUUCUUGACGCUGAGGCGCGAAAGCUAGGGGAGCAAACGGG